rnacentral:rRNA from 1 species
AGCGUAGGUAGCGCACCARMUUAAAUACCCCGCUAGUCUACGCCGCAAACUAUGAGGCUCGGUGUAGGGAGUGYCGAGCCACUUUGUGCCGRCGCUGACGCUUUAAGUGYSCCGCCUGGGGASUACGGUCGCAAGGCUAAAACUCAAAGGAAUUGACGGGGGCCCGCACAAGCAGC